CAGGAACCCAAAUGGAAGAUUUUGAAGUUCUCCAUCUGUGAGUUGUCACCAUGGAACCCUGAUUCUCCAGUUUAUCUAGAAUGAAGAUUUUCAAAAAUGCUCAGCGUGGACUCAGGAACUUGGUUCUCGAGGCUAGAGGAGUGUGCUGUUGCAUAGUGACGAACUUGUUCUAAUGAGGGAACCUGUGAUAAAGUGUGAUAGGCAGUGAUAAUGAUGGAAGUCCAGGAUUCUACACCAAAGUGAUAAACUUCAUUCUGGCCUUCCUUGUGCCCAAUUGUCUUCAGCUGGAUAUGAGCUCUAGCCUGGAGCUAUUUACACCAUGAUCAGGCUAGUAAUUAGCAAAAUGUUUAAUAUAAUAUAGAAGCAAUUAGGAGGUGAUAACAUGCAAUUAAGAUGUGUUUUCAGAUUAAAGAUUUUAUAGUGCUCUCUUUCUUGAAAAGAUAAAGUGCCUAUCUCAAAAUGUCAAACUGCAGUGAUUUAAUCUGAAUUAUUUUCAAUUAAUAUGCAUGUAUUCUUGCUAUGUGUUCACCAUUGUUAUUGACAUUGAUAAAUUAAGCUCAUCCCUGCAGAAUUUAUCCUUGAGUCGCUCUAUAUUUCCUGAAUGUCAGCUCUUCAUUCGGUUGUUUUUUUUUAUUCCUACAAGCUGUGCACGAUCUAACUCUUAAGUCCCCUGAUUCAUCCCUGGGAUUACAGUGAUGUGUCAGUCUGAGUGGAACAAUAAUCUGAAAGGGCAUUGUUAUAAAUAGUG